UGAGACAUUGGUGACAUUUUUUCAUUUUCCUAGGUACAGACCCUGGUGGGAGAAUGCAGCUUGCAAUAAUGCCAAGCUAUUCAUUGCGGUGUAUCGAACGGCAAGUUGAAGCAGUUCUUGGUUCAGUCUGAUUUGUAAUGGAGAUGAAGAUGUGUCAUUGGCAGAAAAGUCAUCUCUAUCAUAAAUGCCUCAUCACCAUUGGAUGGAAAUCAGGAUCAGAUGAAAAGGGGGCAAAGGAAUCCCAUCGAGGUAAUGCUGUGAAAGGAAAAAAUCAGGUUAGUGCUGUGUUUGGGGUCUUCCUUUUGCAAGAGAUGGCAGGAGACAGAGCUCUUGUGACAUGUUUGGAUGCCAAAACUGAGAAGGGGACUUUGAAGGGAGAUUCUUUUUCCUCAGCUUAACCAUGACCCACUGACAUUUGUGGGACAGGGUCUCCUAACUAAACUUUAGCCCACAAAUCUAUUUGUAGGCUGAAGCUGAUGCAGAAAAGGGUAAUUCAAGUGAUAAAUCCUUUAUCUUAUGAAGUGGGCUUAAGUCCACCAUGAAAGCUUAUGUCAAGAACCUUGUUAAUUUCUGAGACAGGCCUGAAUUGGGUCUUCCAGGGAUUUUGGAGGCUCAAAUGUGCCUACUCAUAGAAUUGGAAGAGCCCACAAGAGUCAUUCAGUUCAACCCUCUGCUAAGCAGGAAAACACAAUCAACGCAUGGCCAUCCAACAUCUCCUUAGAAACCGCCAAAGAAGGGGACUCCACCAUGCUCUGAGGGAUAUUCCACUGCUAAACUGCUGCUCCUUCCAUCUCCUUAUUGUUUGGAAACUUGAAAAUAAAUCCUCUGCUUCACAACUAAAAAUUAAAGUUGUCAGAUUGUAAACUGGAGAGGGUUCUUGUAGCUGUACUGAACAUGUAAGAAGUACUUAUCACACAAUCAAAUGACUAGCAAUUCUUCACAAAAUUUCCUUUCCUAUAAAACCAUUAAGGGUUUAAGACCCCUCUCCAAUUUUCCCACUGGCCACCCUACUAUAAUAGUAUUGUUUCAGGCCCACAAAAGGGCAUUUUAGGAAAUCCAAUGAGUGACCUUGGACAAGUCAUAGUUAUAAGAAGGUAGGUUUCAAUUGAAUGUGGUUUGGCAAUAUAAUUAAUUACCUAGAGAUGGCGAGGACUCUUAUUUGGGGAUAUCUUCAAAAAGAGGUUGAACAAUUACCUGCUGAGGAUGCUCUGGUUAGUGGUUUUGAACUGAGUUACAGAUUGGAUCUGAUAGCUCAUGAGGCUCCUUCCAAUUCUUUAAUUCUAUACCAUAAGUCAAAGCUGAGUUGAUGCCAAAUAACAGCAAGUACUGCUACAAUGAUAACAACAACUUCUUGAAACUAUGCAAACAUUUGUGGAAUUUGCAGUCUGAAGAUGUGGCUGUAGUGCACAAAUCUGACCACUUUUAUGGUAAGUUGCAUAAAUGUUGUAUUUCUAUUUGUUUUAUGUAAAGUAUCCAUAGUAUAUGAGGUUAUCAAUGAUGAACUGACAUAAUGUACUCUCCUGUUUUACCAGAAAUAGUGUUCCCUGGAUUUCUGGAAAGCCUGAGCAGCAAAUGCACUUCUGUACUGAUGCCCCGAUGGUAGGCUUCUCCAAGGCAGAAAACUGAACACUUUGUGAACAGAAUGCUGGAUUAGUUACAUCUAAUUCAGUAUAACAAUUCCCACAUUAUUAACAGCAUUGCAAUGUUCUCAUUUGAUAGGGAAUGAGGGCAUGCAUAGAGGUCAGAGAAGGAUUGCUGUUGUUGUCGAUAGGUGCCUUCAAGUCUGUUUCACCCCAGGGCAAUCCUAUCCUAGGGUUUUCUUGGCAAGAUUCAGUCAAAGCGUUAUCAUUGCCUUCCUCUAAGACAGAAAGUAUAACUUGGCUGAGGUCACUUAGGUGGGUUUCAUGGCAGAAUAAGGAUUUAAACCCUUGUCUCUGGUUUAGGAAAAUGGAUAUUCCCUUGCAGUAAGAAUUCUGACACCAUCAUUUUCCUUUAUUUUUCAGAUUCCAAGCUUUGAAAAAGUCAGACUCUGAAAAUCCUGCACUCUUCCAUAUGCUGUGUUCACAUACCCUGGGUAUACCCUCAUCUGAAAUUGACCACAUUGGCCUGGUAAAGGGAAAAUGGUAUACAAACCAAGAAAAUAAUGAACCUAUCAAGACAACCACAAAUUUUCUAAAAUAAAAAUAAAUACAAACAACCUUCUUAGAAAGUUAGAUGCUUGCAGGGUUACAGAACACACACACACACACACACACACACAAACACACAUCACUUCUAGGCUGCUCUGUUUGUAUUAAUUGAAAUUCCAUUGUGGGCCCUGUGCUAUUUCUUUCAGCUCCAAUAAAGGUUCAUUGCAAUUAGGCUUUUCUGCUUUCACAGCUCUCCCUGCUUUGACAUAAAAGAUUAAGCACUUCUGGUCUAUAUGAUGCAAAAUAAUACAUUAUGGUUAAGUUACGAAAGAAGACAGAAACAAAGGGAAAUGCAUUCAGUCCAGAUGGUGUCAUUCUCCUUUAGAGCCCCAUAUACAGCCAUUCACCCCCAGUUUAUUAAUCGAGACGACUCUUGUGCAUAGAUUAGAGAUGAUGCGGAAUGGUUCCUCCUCACUAUAUUUUAAAAUGGAUGAUGAUUUCCAACCCACCAACUCCAAAUUGAUGCACCUUCUAUUUGACACAAUUGCCUGUAGCUUCUGAUUAACUGAUAUGUAACCUAUCCAUGUGUUAUUUUAAUUGCUCCCUUCUGCAUUCAAAAAAUAUUAUCUAUAUGGGACUGGUUGAGAUA
rnacentral:lncRNA from 1 species